rnacentral:rRNA from 1 species
UACCUGGUUGAUCCUGCCAGUAAUCAUAUGCUUGUCUCAAAGAUUAAGCCAUGCAUGUCUAAGUACAUGCCGAAAUAAGGCGAAACCGCGAAUGGCUCAUUAAAUCAGUUAUGGUUCCUUAGAUCGUUUCUUCCUACUUGGAUAACUGUGGCAAUUCUAGAGCUAAUACAUGCAGUGAGCCUGAAGCCCUUUGGGCGACGGGUGCUUUUAUUAGACCAAGAUCGAUCGGGUUUCGGCCCGUAUUGUGUGGUGACUCUGGAUAACUUUGUGCUGAUCGCAUGGCCACGAGCCGCGACGUUUCUUUCAAGUGUCUGCCUUAUCAACUUUCGAUGGUAGGUUACUUGCUUACCAUGGUUGUACGGGUAACGGAGAAUCAGGGUUCGAUUCCGGAGAGGGAGCCUGAGAAACGGCUACCACAUCCAAGGAAGGCAGCAGGCGCGCAAAUUACCCACUCCCGGCACGGGGAGGUAGUGACGAAAAAUAACAAUACGGGACUCUUUUGAGGCCCCGUAAUUGAAAUGAGUACACUCUAAAUCCUUUAACGAGGAUCAAUUGGAGGGCAAGUCUGGUGCCAGCAGCCGCGGUAAUUCCAGCUCCAAUAGCGUAUACUAAAGCUGCUGCGGUUAAAAAGCUCGUAGUUGGAUCUCAGUUCCAGACGAGUAGUGCAUCUACCCGAUGCGACGGCUCGGACUGAACAUCAUGCCGGUCCUUUCUUGGUGCACUUCAUUGUGUGCCUCGAGAAGGCCGGUGCUUUUACUUUGAAAAAAUUAGAGUGCUCAACGCAGGCGAGUCGCCUGAAUAAACUUGCAUGGAAUAAUAGAACAAGACCUCGUUUCUGUUCUGUUGGUUUUUGGAAUACGAGGUAAUGAUUAAGAGGGACAGACGGGGGCAUUCGUAUUGCGGCGCUAGAGGUGAAAUUCUUGGACCGUCGCAAGACGAACUACUGCGAAAGCAUUUGCCAAGAAUGUUUUCUUUGAUCAAGAACGAAAGUCAGAGGUUCGAAGGCGAUCAGAUACCGCCCUAGUUCUGACCAUAAACGAUGCCAACCAGCGAUCCGCCUGAGUUACUCAAAUGACUCGGCGGGCAGCUUCCGGGAAACCAAAGUGUUUGGGUUCCGGGGGAAGUAUGGUUGCAAAGCUGAAACUUAAAGGAAUUGACGGAAGGGCACCACCAGGAGUGGAGCCUGCGGCUUAAUUUGACUCAACACGGGAAAACUUACCCGGCCCGGACACUGGGAGGAUUGACAGAUUGAGAGCUCUUUCUUGAUUCGGUGGAUGGUGGUGCAUGGCCGUUCUUAGUUGGUGGAGCGAUUUGUCUGGUUAAUUCCGAUAACGAACGAGACUCUAGCCUAUUAAAUAGGUGCGGGGUUCCCAGCACCUUACAACCUUCUUAGAGGGACAAGCGGCUCCUAGCCGCACGAAACAGAGCAAUAACAGGUCUGUGAUGCCCUUAGAUGUCCGGGGCCGCACGCGCGCUACACUGAAGGAAGCAGCGUGUCUUUAUCCCUGUCUGAAAAGACUGGGUAACCCGUGGAACUUCUUUCGUGAUUGGGAUAGGGGCUUGCAAUUGUUCCCCUUGAACGAGGAAUUCCCAGUAAGCGCGAGUCAUAAGCUCGCGUUGAUUACGUCCCUGCCCUUUGUACACACCGCCCGUCGCUACUACCGAUUGAAUGAUUUAGUGAGGUCUUCGGACCGAUGUCCGGCGCGGCCUUUCGGUUGCGCCGGUCUGUUGGAAAGAUGACCAAACUUGAUCAUUUAGAGGAAGUAAAAGUCGUAACAAGGUUUCCGUAGGUGAACCUGCGGAAGGAUCAUUA